rnacentral:rRNA from 1 species
AGAGUUUGAUCUGGCUCAGGACGACGCUGGCGGCGUGCUUAACACAUGCAAGUCGAACGGGAAGACAUUUCUAACACCGAGUUACUAAAAUGAUGCUUUAUAUAAGUGAUUAAAACUUUGGUGGUUCGGUGUUAGAAAUGGAUUCUAGUGGCAAACGGGUGAGUAACGCGUAGGCAACCUGCCCUUCAGAUGGGGACAACAUUUCGAAAGGAAUGCUAAUACCGAAUGACGUGCAUUGGUCGCAUGACCGAUGUACCAAAGGCCGGGCAACCGGUCACUGAAGGAUGGGCCUGCGUCUGAUUAGCUAGUUGGUGGGGUAACGGCCCACCAAGGCGACGAUCAGUAGCCGGUCUGAGAGGAUGAACGGCCACAUUGGGACUGAGACACGGCCCAAACUCC